UACAGAGGGUGCAAGCGUUAAUCGGAAUUACUGGGCGUAAAGCGUGCGUAGACGGUUAUGUAAGUCAGAUGUGAAAGCCCCGGGCUCAACCUGGGAAUUGCAUUUGAGACUGCAUAGCUAGGGUGCGGAAGAGGGAAGCGGAAUUUCCGGUGUAGCAGUGAAAUACGUAGAUAUCGGAAGGAACACCAGUGGCGAAAGCGGCUUCCUGGUCCAGCACCGACGUUCAGGCACGAAAGCGUGGGGAGCAAACAGG
rnacentral:rRNA from 1 species